rnacentral:rRNA from 1 species
CACGUAGGGGGCAAGCGUUGUCCGGAAUUAUUGGGCGUAAAGCGCGCGCAGGCGGUCAUUUAAGUCUGGUGUUUAAUCCCGGGGCUCAACCCCGGAUCGCACUGGAAACUGGGUGACUUGAGUGCAGAAGAGGAGAGUGGAAUUCCACGUGUAGCGGUGAAAUGCGUAGAUAUGUGGAGGAACACCAGUGGCGAAGGCGACUCUCUGGGCUGUAACUGACGCUGAGGCGCGAAAGCGUGGGGAGCAAACAGG